GUGCUAACACAUGCGAGUCGAGCGAGAAAGCCCUUUCGGGGGUAAGUAAAGCGGCGGAUGGGUGAGUAACGCGUGGACAACCCAUCCUUUGGUUCGGGAUAACCCUGCGAAAGCGGGGCUAAUACCGGAUAAUCCCCAUAUUUCCUGGGAGAUUUGGGGUAAAGUGUGCCUCUGCUGCAAGCAUACGCCAAGGGCAGGGUCCGCGUCCCAUUAGCUAGUCGGUAGGGUAACGGCCUACCGAGGCGACGAUGGGUAGCUGGUUUGAGAGGAUGAUCAGCCACACUGGGACUGAAACACGGCCCAGACUCCUACGGGAGGCAGCAGUGGGGAAUCUUGGGCAAUGGGCGAGAGCCUGACCCAGCGACGCCGCGUGAGGGAAGAAGGCCCUCGGGUCGUAAACCUCUGUCAGGAGGGAAGAAAAUGCUACAUAUUAAUAGUGUGUAGUAUUGACGGUACCUCCAGAGGAAGCGCCGGCCAACUCCGUGCCAGCAGCCGCGGUAAUACGGAGGGCGCAAGCGUUAUUCGGAAUUACUGGGCGUAAAGCGCGCGUAGGCGGCAACGUAAGUCAGGUGUGAAAGUCCUCGGCUCACCCGGGGGAUGGCACUUGAAACUGCGUAGCUGGAGUUCUGGAGAGGGUGGCGGAAUUCCCGGUGUAGGAGUGAAAUCCGUAGAGAUCGGGAGGAACACCAGAGGCGAAGGCGGCCACCUGGCCAGAAACUGACGCUGAGGCGCGAAAGCGUGGGUAGCAAACAGGAUUAGAUACCCUGGUAGUCCACGCUGUAAACAUUGGAUGCUAGAUGCGGGUGACGUAGAAGUCAUUCGUGUCGCAGCUAACGCGUUAAGCAUCCCGCCCUGGGGAGUACGGCCGCAAGGCUGAAACUCAAAGGAAUUGACGGGGGGCCUGCACAAGCCGGUGGAGUAUGUGGUUUAGUUCGAAUGCCAACCGCAAGAAACCUUACCUGGGCUUGAACUUCCCGGGAAUUCGUCUAAAAAUAAGGCG
rnacentral:rRNA from 1 species